rnacentral:rRNA from 1 species
UGGGUAACCUGCCUCAAAGAGGGGAAUAGCCUCCCGAAAGGGAGAUUAAUACCGCAUAAUAUGUUUAAGUCGCAUGACUUUAACAUCAAAGGAUUUUCUUUUAGAAAUUCCACUUUGAGAUGGACCCGCGGCGCAUUAGCUAGUUGGUGAGGUAACGGCUCACCAAGGCAACGAUGCGUAGCCGACCUGAGAGGGUGAUCGGCCACAUUGGAACUGAAACACGGUCCAGACUCCUAGGGAG